rnacentral:tRNA from 1 species
UCCCUGCUGUCUAAGAUGGUAAAGAAUCUGCCUGCAAUGCGGGAGUCCCUGGAUUCGAUCCCUGGGUUGGGAA